CUCUGCAGGAGUCUCCACUCAGAAGUGGCCCUAGCAGGUAUGGACCUCAGCUGCUCUUACUGGGUGGAAGAGGUGAGAAGGGAUCUCAGUGACUGGCUGGGAACGUCCUCCUCAAACUUCUGCACAUUGUUUUAGGCCUUAUUCCAAUGGGACAAUUCUGGGACCCAUGUGACAUCCUUACUGGACAACGGUGGAGAGAAGAAGCCCGUCACCACCCUGCCUCUUCCGUGCAGUGUUCCCAUUCCUCUGUGAUUAACCCCUCAAGUCAAUGGGGGUGUGUGGUAGAACCUACAGGAUAGACCCAUGGAAGAGGCCUGCUCUGGGUGCUGAAAAUGAGCUUGGGACUGGUUGGUUCUGGAUAUCCUCAUCACAGCUCACACGGUGUGGGUGCUGGCUCAGGGGGGCACCUCCUGGUGACCUUGCUGACGUCUCACUUCAUGAAGAGGGACACUCCACGAGAUGCCAAGAAGGCACAAGGAGACUGCUUCCCUAGAAGAGUGCUGUGGUUGAGAUUUGGAACUUCUCCCAAAGGAUUGUGCUAUAAGAGUUCGAUCCAUAGGAUGGCACUAUGGGAGAUAAUGGAACCUUUGGGGGGUGUGGCCUAAUAGGGAGAGUCUUUAGGGGUGUGCCCUCAAAGGGUACCAUGGAACCCCUGGCCUUUCUUCUUCUAUUUUCCUGCCACAGUGUACUACUUUAUCGUAAUCUUUGAAGCAUUGGGGCCAAUUGAUCAUGGACUUGGACCUCCAAAACUGAGGGCUCAGAUGACCUUGUUCUCUUUGGAUGUCAUCACAAGCAUUUUGUUAGAAUAAUGCCAAGUUGACUGACAAGGGUGAGGGUCCUGUUCUGUAGCCACCACUAUGCGAUUGACAGGGGUCAGAAAGGCUCCCGACUGGAGCUGGGCUUCUCACUACCAGCCAGGCUUUUUGUGACUGUGCUGUCACCCUUCAGAUCUCUAUGGUCUCAAAGGUAGGACAAGAAGAGUUGAUAGAAGUGCCCCGAAGCCUCUCUGGAGGCUCUCCUGCAUACAGAGAGUUUGAGAUUAAUGAAUGGUUGUUGCGACCUUAAAACCUGUAUACUGUGUGGUAGCUUGCUAGAAAAAGUGGAGAUUUUCUUUCUUUUUUGAAUAAUGAGUGGAAACAGUUACCCAGAUUCUCUCUGAAAUGAUGCUGGUCUGGGUUGGCAGGAUGACUCAGGAGGGCACAGUUCUUGCUGUGCAAGCCUGAUGACCUGAGUUAAGUUCUUGAAGCCAGGUGAAGAGGAGGGAUGUGGUGUCGCAUACCUGCACCUGCAGUCCUAGAACUUCUAUGGCAAGAUGGGAGCCAGAGAUGGGAGAGUCAGGGGAGAUUUGUUGGCCCGCUGCUCUGGAGUACCUAGUGUUGCAGAAACAGCAAGAGAGACCCUGCUUCAGCAAGGUGGAAGGAGAACACUGACCCCCAACAUCUGCUCCCUGAUAAUUUGUACACACACACACACACACACACACACACAAAACAACAACGCAAAUUAAAAUGCUGAUGUCAAUUCUAUACAAGAGCCAAGAGACUGAGACUCAUAGCAAACAGAAAAAUAAAAAUGUUUUUGCUCUUA